rnacentral:rRNA from 1 species
CAGUCGCCGCGGGAAUACGGAGGGUGCGAGCGUUAAUCGGAAUUACUGGGCGUAAAGCGUGCGCAGGCGGUUCGUUAAGACAGAUGUGAAAUCCCCGGGCUUAACCUGGGAACUGCAUUUGUGACUGGCGAGCUAGAGUAUGGCAGAGGGGGGUAGAAUUCCACGUGUAGCAGUGAAAUGCGUAGAGAUGUGGAGGAAUACCGAUGGCGAAGGCAGCCCCCUGGGCCAAUACUGACGCUCAUGCACGAAAGCGUGGGGAGCAAACAGGAUUAGAGACCCCCGUAGUCCCUGUCUCUUAUAC